rnacentral:rRNA from 1 species
AACGCGAAGAACCUUACCCAGGCUUGACAUGCAGUAGGACAGCGCCCACGAAGAUGGCGCCUUCCUUCGGGACUGCUGCACAGGUGCUGCAUGGCUGUCGUCAGCUCGUGCCGUGAGGUGUUGGGUUAAGUCCCGCAACGAGCGCAACCCUUAUCGUUAGUUGCCAACAUUUUAGGUGGGAACUCUAGCGAGACUGCCUGGGGUUAACCAGGAGGAAGGUGAGGAUGACGUCAAGUCCGCAUGGCCCUUAUGUCUGGGGCUACACACGUGCUACAAUGGCCGGUACAAAAGGGCAGCGAAACCGACGACGGUGGAGCAAAUCCCCAAAGCCGGUCCCAGUUCAGAUUGUAGUCUGCAACUCGACUACAUGAAGAUGGAAUUGCUAGUAAUGGCGAAUCAGCUACAUCGCCGUGAAUACGUUCCCGGGCCUUGUACACACCGGUACUA